rfam:Paenibacillus sp. IHBB 10380, complete genome.
AGGAGCCGUAUGCGAUGACCCGCACGUACGGUUCUGUGAGAGGCCCAUGCAACUGCGUAUGGGCCUACUCGAU